rnacentral:sRNA from 1 species
GCCGGGUAUGGUGGAGCACACCUGCAAUCCCAGCUACUCAGGAGGCUGAGGCAGGAGGGAUCACAAGUUCAAGACCAGCCUCAG